UCCAAUCAAAAUAGAUAAGAUCUCCCUACAUUUAAAAACAAACAAGAACUAAUUAUAUUUGUGUUAAUUAAAUUAUUAAAUAGUUCUUGUAAGAAUUUGAUUUUGAAAAUAUCUUGAUUUUUUGCCUUUUGUGUUGUUCUUGUUGUGUGCGCGAGAGCUGAGGGCGGAGAGUACGAGUCUUGAGAUGUUUGAAGGGAAUUUGAGGUCUAGCUCUACCUCGUGGAAGCUUCAACGUGAAGUUUCGAGAGGUAUCUCGAGGGAGAGAGAGAACGAAGGUGAUGACUGAGUGAUGAUGGAAGGUGUUGCCGAGGGAGGUUAGAGAUGAAAGUGGUGAUGAGAAUUGAUGGAGAUGGGAGAGAAAUGGGGGUGAUGAAGUUGUGAGAGAGUGAGGUGGUUGAAGAUGAAGAGAAAAUGGCGUAUUGAGAGAGGAGAAAAGCAAUGGUGGAGUGGAGUGUGGAGAAAAGUGGCGGAGAGAGGAGUGAAAAAAUGGUUAUGAGGUCAGAAGUGAGAGUGAAGAUAGGUUAGAACUGAGACGAAAACAGUUAGAGAGUUAGUUAGAGAAGAGAAAAAUUCUGUUAUGAGUUGAAUGUUGAGGAUUGAGAUUUUACAUAUGCAGUUAUGAAAGUUAGUUAUAGUUAGUUUUGGAGAGUUUGUUACAUAUGCUUGAAAUCCUGUUAUUGGCUAUGUCAAAUGUUAGUUAUAUGACAGUUAGAAAUUAGGUUCUAUGUUUCAGUUUGGUUAAAGGGUAGUUAUCAAUUCGGUUAGGAUGCAGAGAGAAUUAAUUACAGCUCUGUUGAGUUUGUUACUGAAGGUUGGAGUUAAAUGAAAGUCAAAAAAACCAGUUAGUUUUAUUUUGUAAAACGUUGCCAAUGUGUAAUAUGUUAAUAUCAAUCAACAAAAAAAAAUAUCAAUUCCUGGAAGCAUGUUUGGUAUCCGCUAAUGGUUCUUUUUUUUCACAAGGAUGGAGUCCCGUUUACUCUCGGCAAAGCUCUACUGCAAGAAAUGGUUAUGGUUUGGCAUAAGAUCGGCAAGAAGCAAUGGCGUGGAUUUCGAAGGGACCAUGAGCGCAUGGGAGCGGCAAUGGUUGUGGUUGGAGGUUGGUAUUGCGGUACUGUCGGAAUAAAGCUCCAUGAGUUUUGAAGAAGUUCGGGAACAUCUUAGGAUAAAUUCUUGAGUAUUCCAAACAGAGAGGCAGUGAAGGGUAGCCGUAUCGAAAGGGAGAGAAAUUUUUGAGACUUGGAUUGCUGAUACUUGAGUCGGUUUUGUAGGCCCACACAUGUCUUCCAGUGCAGCUGCCCGUAACCUCUUGCUUUGGGGCGAAUUAGCAAACGUGUGAAUGCUGCUUUGACGUAUGAUUUUGCACAUGGAGUGAUGCUACUGAAGCUGUUUUGGGCAGGUCUGAGUCUGCUGUUUUAAGCCUUUAUCGAUUUCUGCAUAAUGUGUUUUUUCUUGUUUUGGUAUUGAUGCAGGGUUACUAUGUGGGUGGAUCGGUUUGAAACUGUUCUUUGAUUGAAGUUUGAUGCAGUAUAAGUGGAUGUGCUUAUGGAAAGUGUUGAAAGGUGAUUGGUGUUGUGUUUAUUUUUGAGGCGCAUGUUCCGGUAUGCAUUGCUGAACUGGGACUGGUAUCCUUUUUUUAAUUAUGCAGGAUACAGUAGCAUGGGCUUGGCCUGGCAUCAUAGUUCAAACGGAAAUAUAUAUAUAUAUAUAUA